GAAUCAUAUUAAAAAUUGGCAGUAAAAGCAAAAACAAUAGCAUUUUUAAGAAAAUGAGUAGUUAGUCUGGAAUUUCUUUCUUACGACUGGAUGUUUUGAAUGCUGGAAUGCUACCAUGAAUCAAAACAAAAACCUGGAAGAAUAAAGAAAAAUCCAUUGCAGAUCAUCAGAAGUCAUAUCUCUAGCUUGGUAAGUGCUAGUGCUGCAUAUUGCUAGAGGUUGAGAAAGUACCCUGAGAACAUAUUCACUCCAUGCCUGCUGUCCUAAAUAUAUUUUUAUUAAGCAUUUUCCACUGGCCAGUAUUAGAAGUAGGACACUGGGAGCUAGAAUUUACUUGGUAAUCCCAUGCAGCUGCUUGACAUGGAUGUUUUUCUGUUGUUCUGAAAAUCAUUAUGAUAUUUUUUUUCCUCCACAGAAAGAGCACUUCUGUCCUGUUAAUGCCAGUCCACCUCCUAAGCCCAGUGGUGUGAAUGGAAAGAUGAGAGCUGACUUUAUUAUGAAGUCCAGUGGGAAUAUGGUAGCUGAGAAACAGGCAAUUUGGAAGUGAAUUUACCACCCUGUCAAACAUUUGUCAUAUCUUAAUCCCCCUGACACCUCUCCUGCAGGGAAAUAAAAUAAUAAAAAAGCUCUCUAGCCUUGUUGUUAUUUUAUGUGUAUUGAACCCAAUUAGUAAGUUUUCCCUUCCACCUCUAGAUGUCUAGGUUAUGAGCUUUAUUAAGUUAGAGACAAAGCUUCAAAGUAGCUGGUGACAGCUUUUGCUGGGACUGGAAAAGAUUUCUUUGAAGACACUGUUUCUAAUACUGAAAAAGAAUGUGUUCUUCCUAAGAUUAGUACAUACUUCAGUUUUUUACAUCUGUUACAGUCCACUUCAAAAAUAUGAGAGUGAUUUUUUUUUUUUUUGCUAUCAAUACAACAGUGAGAUAUUUGCUUUUCAGUCAAACCUAAAUAAAAGUACCAGAGUCAAUUUCAAAAUGCCACUUGAAGACAUUUUGUAAACACUGUGCUUUAGAUUAACUUCAGCAUAUGAAACCCUACUCUUAGAGCAUAAUAAACAAAAGCUGGAUCAGUAUCUAUAGUGUCCCACUGCUUUUUCCUCUCUGCAGCCAGGAUCAGAAGUUCUUGAGGAACUUUUUAUUUGACAUCAAAGGGCUUUGUAUCCAAACAAAUUGUGGGAUAUGGUUAAUCUCUGUAACAGCGCUGAUACGGAGUUUGAGACAGUUUUGCAGUUUCAGUUAGUGUGUGGCAGUGUUCAGGACUCUUGUAUUUCUGUAGGCAUUGCUGUCUUGCAGGUUUAACCUUUUUGCUAUUAUGAGCAUUUUUAUUUCAUGUACUUGGCUUCCAGUACAGGCAGGAACUACCAUGAUCUCCUGCCUUCCCUGGCUGGCCAGACCCAUCCAAAUGCAGCAGUUGAUAUGUCUGGGACAACCUGUGUUGAGCAUCAUGGCUGAGAUGCUGGGCUGCCAAAUCAUGGGGUGAAAUCCAGGCUGCCAUGGCUCUGGUGCUGGCAUGGAGCAUCACAUCACAUCACAUCGCAUCACAUCACAUCACAUCUGACAGUGCUGCUGCAUGGAGGUGUCUGUCCAGAUAGAGUGGCACGUCCCUGCUUUUGCUUCUGUCCCUCCCCUGACAGGCUGGAGUUACAGCCAUCUCUUAGGUCUUCAACCAUCAAAAAAUGUUUUUUUUGUGCAGAUAGGUCAGUUCUCCUUGUAUGGCUUUUGCUCCCCCAUCCACAAGCUGUCCAGGUUAUUCCCUCCCCACUGACCAUACCAGCACCUGUGCCUGCUCAGUGCUGCUACCAUGCAGGAACACUGAUAGAAUUUAAAGAAAAUAAGAGGUAACAACCUAUCCAUAACUACUUCAGGAAUAGAUGUUGUGUUUUAAAAGCGUAAUCCUAGGCUCUUAAAACUAUUACUUAAAAAUAAAAAUAAAAAUCUCAAUGAAAAGCAAAGCUGAACCUGUCAUAUAGAAGGUCUGUAGUGUAGUAAUAGUACUAUAUUAGUAUAAUAUAUAUCGCUGUUGAUACUUAAAUAUUGUUCAUAUCUGCACAUUCAACAUCACUUUUUAAAGCUUUUCAUUCAAUACUUUGGAUUGGAAGGAAGGAAGAAAAUAAAUUCCAGCUUUUUAUACCUCUCUGGCAAAGGCUAUAAAUCACUUUUUCUUUAGGGAUGAAUAUGUAAUCUCCUAUAUAAUCUCUGACCUUAAUAAGGAGAUAGAACCACCAAAAGCAAUUUCUCUUGCUAUAAAACUUUGCAUACAUAUACAUUUUAGAGAACCUGAUGACUCUUGAUAGGAGUAUCUGAAGAAAAGCAGAAUUCUCUGAGAGACAAUUCACAAGGUUAAAACUGCCUUGAGUGUUUACAGAGCUAAAUUAGUAGGACGUGGAAUUAGUAUAUUUGAAGUGCAUUUCCCUACCAGUUGAUUUCCUAAGAAGAACAAGUAUUUCUGUACCAUACAGAAGGCAAAUUUGUGGUAGUCCAAACUUUACUUCUGUCUAGGAUGCCUCCUUCAAAUAAGAAAUGGAAGAGGAGAAAGUUUCUAAAACUGGACGUACAUUAAAGGAUCCAAGGAAUGGUAGGUUCAUACUCAGUGCAGAGCCCUGAAUUCAAAGUAAGCACAAAAACUCUUAGGAUGUCAGCUCCACCCUGCUCCUCUGAAAUGUGCAUUAAUAAACUGUGUGGCAGAGUGCCAGCGAUGACAAAGAAGGAAAUAAUAACUGUAUAAUUGGUAAUGUCUUUUUUUUCCCCCCAUGCAAAUGGUAACUUUGGUCUUCGGUAGAUUUUGUAGUCUAAUUCCAUAUUGCUGUGGUUCAUGUUCAAAAUGCAGAGCUUCAGUAAUUCAAGGUAUAUAAUAGACACAUGUGUUGAUUUUGAAAAUAAUUUUACUCUUAAAAUUCCUUUUCCUCCUUUGCUUUCUCUAUUGGUAGAGAAUUCCCAAGUCUGAGGCUUGCAUAGGAUACCAUUUGGUGUUCUUUACUUAACACAAAGACUCCAUGAGUAAAACCGAUUUGCCUCAUGAUCACAGAAUAUUCUGAGUUGGAAGAGACCCAGAAGGAUCAUCAUGUUCCACACUUAAGUGAAUGGCCCAUACAAGGAUCAAACCCACCACCUUGGUGUUACCAGCACUGUGCUCUGAGAAACUGAGCUAAUCAUGUCCUGUGAAACCUCUUCAGAAACAUCUUCAAAUAGGGAUUAAUUAAAUUUGGUUAAUCACUCACUUGUGUCAGUACAAUUGAAGCAGGAUUCAUCUAAAUUUAAGCAAGAGGAAAAGCUGGCCAACAUGGGCCAUUAAAGACCAUGGACCAGGGUGCUUGGCAGGAUUUUGGCUUCAAAGCAGGCUUUCGGCCCAGAGCCAGCCCACGGUUUUGUAGUGACACAGACCGAAUGAACGUUCUGCUCCAACAUGAUGGUGUUGGUGGCUUGUCCUUCACCUCUGCAGACUGCACCACUCAGGAUGGGGAGCAGAGGUUAAGUCCCAGGAGGGAUUACAGGAAAGAAGACAGGAUGGUAAGGGGAAGUUUUAGGAGGCAAAAUGUUACAGCCAUAACGUGGCAGAGCACGGAGAUAGGCUGGAGUCACAGAGCUCUGGGGAGGAGGGAGGUCUGUGUGUCUCCCCUCACUCAUAUGUGUUACCUUCUCUGCUGAGCAGGGCUGUUCUUCCAGCCCAGCAUGCAGGUUGUUCUCCCUGCUGGAGUGAGAACAGGGCUGGAAGCUGCCCUCCUUCCUCUCCCAAACCAUGCACUGCCCCCAGUGUGAGGAGUAGCAGAGGUUGUUCAAGCAGCAGUGACCUUUCAGUCUCCAGAUUUUUGAAUGCCUCAGCAGCCACCUACUCCAUCGACUUCUUUUGCAAUUACAAAGAUUUUCUACUCUCAAAUUGUCUAUUUCAUACCUGAGUGGUUCUAAUAUUUUUUUACAAGAAUAACUUUAAUUGCAAUGCUUUUCUUGGUUUCAUCUACAGUAUCAUUAUGUAGUGCAAAAGAUUGGAUUCAGCAACCAUAAGUGUUAAAAAUACUAGGUUUGCAGUGGAAUUCUGUGAAAAUGUGAAUAUGAUAUAAGCAAGGGAUUAUUUGAUUUCAUUUAAUGAGUUUGGUUAGAUUCUUAUUUCACUUUUGAUGAUGCUGACUCCUGGACUCCAGAUAUUUCAUGUUUAAAAGUCAAGGGAGUGUCUUCUCCAUAGAAUCACACCUAGGAAAAAAGCAUCUAGAAAAAAUAGAUACAUUUGGUUUGUUAGAAUCAGAAUAGGAAGAAGAAAAGAUUUGGUAAAUUCAGCCUCAAACUUCCGAAUAAAUGAAAGCAAUUAUAUUAGCUGUUUUACAUGGCAAGAAAAUGAAAGUUACUGUAUUUAUAACAAUGCAUAAAUCUAAACCCAAAAAUUUCCUUAAUAUUCCUUAAACCUGAUCAAGUAAGGCCUCACGUGUUAAAGCUGAAGAUGAUAUAAAGCAGUGGCCAUAAUUUAAAAACCCAACAUAUGUUUACAUUUCAUUAUUCAUAAAAGAUAAUUUCUGGUUUUCAUUAUAUAUAUAACUUAUUUUUUCUAGGUAAGUCUUUCAUAAUAUCAGAUGGUGAUGUAAGUUUAAAGGUAACAUAUUUUAAAGAAGUUAGUGGAGAAAUAAUAUAUUUAUUAUACAUAUUACCCUCUGAAAAAUCACAGAAUUGAUCAAAGCAACAAUGAGAAGGGAAAAAAAGGAGAUGUAAUUUUAAUUUUUUCUUUUAACUGUGGUAGCCUCUCUUUUAACAGGUGAUAGUAUGAAAUUAAUGUCAAACAUAGUAUAGGCAAACAUCACUCAGAUCCUCCAGAUGAAGCUUCUGGCUGGUAUCUUAGAAAAACCCUUGUGUUUGGUCUUUCAAAUCUUAUGCUAUAUUGCAGAAAUAUCCUGUAUCUUUUCCAAAGAUAUUCCCCAGGGUGUUUUAGAUGCCAGUCUGUUAUGUUUAGAAAGCUCUUGACUUGCUCUUACAUGAGUUGGCUCUCCAAGAGAAUAGUGGUUGUAUCAGACACAAAAACUGGUCCUUGGUUUGUGCAAUGGUGUGGCUUUGCCUUCAGUGUUUACAGACAUUGCUACAAUAUGUUUGACAUUUCAUAAAGGCUCACAUCAUCCAGAUCAAUGCUGAGCUGCCACAACAGCCAGAAAUAUCUGUAAUUAGAAACACGAUCAGGUAUUGAAAAUUGAAUGUAGUCUUCUCAAUGUGUCAACCUCUUUAAUAUGAGCAAUUUUGCUUGCAUGCUUGGCAAGACUGAAAGUGUUCUUUUGGCUAGUACCCAUUUUCUUUAUAUGUAGCUUAAUCUUAAAUCUUAUACUUUAAAUCUUUCUGUCAUUUGAUGUGAAUCCAGAAUACUUCAGUUCCUAUUCCCUACUGCUUUGUAGCUGUGCUCUGAGAUUGAUGCUACGUUCCAACCAAACUGUGGAUGUGUUUCAUUAGAAAAUAAUGUGACCAAAAUGAGUAAACACAGGGUUUGUAAAAGUGCUUGGGGAUCAUUCAUGAUAAAAGUGCUGUGCUGCAAGUAUAUAUUUGCUGGCCUGGGUAAACACUACUUGCUGAUUUCACCACCUGAAAGAUACAGCAAAGUUGACUAGAUAUUGUAUGGAACAGAAUAGAUCUCUGGAGAUUACCCAAACUGAUAUGAGACCAGAUAUUUAAAUUUUAAAUUUUUUUCAUCACCUUAAACUAAAAAAGGAAUUAGAAUACUUAAAAUUCCUAUCUAGACACAAGUGUAGAACCUCACAUUCAUCCUACUAUUCAGUUUAUUAAACAGUUCUUCAGACUAAUGUGGCCUUUUCAGUAUUCUUUAAAAAAAAA
rnacentral:lncRNA from 1 species